rnacentral:misc_RNA from 1 species
CUGAGUUACCGCUCUAUAACCCUUUGUGAACAUACCUACAACUGUUGCUUCGGCGGGUAGGCCGUCCCCUGAAAAGGACGCCUCCCGGCCCGGACCGGACCCCCCGCGGGACCGGACCCGGCGCCCGCCGGAGGAUAACCAAACUCUAUUGUAACGACGUUUCUUCUGAGUGGCAUAAGCAAAAUAAUCAA